UGCAGGCUUUCAGCCAUUCUAAACACCUGGCGUAGGAGGUACAUGCAGGCUUUCAGCCAUUCUAAACACCUGGCGUAGGAGGUACAUGCAGGCUUUCAGCCAUUCUAAACACCUGGCGUAGGAGGUACAUGCAGGCUUUCAGCCAUU